GGCUUGUUGAUUAUAAUUUCAGGUCUGGCCUGCCCACUGAGAUUUUAAAUGGCCGCGGUAUAUUGACCGUGCAAAGGUAGCAUAAUCAUUAGUUUUUUAAUUGAAAGCUUGUAUGAAAGGUUAAAUGAGAAAAGUACUGUCUCUAUAAAAAUUUAGUAGAAUUUUAUUUUUAAGUAAAAAAGCUUAGAUAUAUAUAGAAGACGAGAAGACCCUAUAGAGUUUUAUGUUUUAAUAAAAGAGUAAUUUCAAGGAUUUAAGAAUAUAUUUUUAUUAAAAUGUUUAGUUGGGGUGAUUAAAAAAUUUAUUAAACUUUUUUUUUGUUUGUACAUUUGUUUAUGAAUAGAGGAUCCUAUAAUUUGGAUUGUAAGAUAAAAUUACCUUAGGGAUAACAGCGUAAUUUUUUUUAGAGUUCUUAUCAAAAAAAAAGUUUGCGACCUCGAUGUUGGAUUAAAAUUAAUUGUUGGUGUAGAAGUUAGCAAAUUAGGUCUGUUCGACCUUUAAAAUUUUACAUGAUCUGAGUUUAAACCGGUGUAAA
rnacentral:rRNA from 1 species